AGAGACAGUUAGUGGCUUCUGAUCCAGGGAAGGUGGCAGUGUAGUGACAGAAACCUGAAGGGGAGUGGAUGGGAGUGAUGGCCCCACUGCCUGGGGGAGAGGCCAGGCUGGAGGCGGGACCUGGAGGAAUGGAGGCCAGUGCUACCCUCACACUCCCAGCCUCCUGUCCUGGUGGGAUUUGGACCCACAGAUCCCCAUGGUGCAUAUGUCAAGUCUGGCCUGUUCCACCUCUUUCUCAAAGGAAGGUUCUGAGCCUCCCUACCCAGUGUAGGGGUGGCAACGAUCCCUCAUUCAUUCAAGCAUUUAUGAACCACCCUCCCUAAGUCUAGCUCAUGCAGCACCAAAUUUAUUCACUUAGCUAAUGAUUGACCUACUGCUGUGUUCUAGGCACCAGGGAUACCACAUGGAGGCGUGCGCCAGAGCCCUGUCCCCUGGAGCCCUUGGGUUCAAAUACUGGUUCUACCUGGGAGUGGGCAGUAGUUGGCCUCCCAGCCUUGCAUCCUCAGCCAUUGAAUUAGUUAACAUGUGAAGACUCUUAGAACAGCGUAAGCGCUGCAGAAGAAUUUGCUGCUGCUGUUAUUAUUAUUCCAGACAUUAUUAU
rnacentral:lncRNA from 1 species